UGGAUUAGGCAUGCAAGUCGUACGCACAGCAAUGUGAGUGGCGCAAGGGUGAGUAAUGCGAAGGUAACCAACCCUGGAGUUGGGCAUAACUGCGGGAAACUGCAGGUAAUUCCCAGCGAUGUCAUGAGAUGGCAUCAUCUUAUGACCAAAGGUGUGAUUCCGCUCUAGGACGGGCCUUCGUGGUAUUAGCUAGUUGGUGGGGUAACGGCCUACCAAGGCUACGAUGCCUACCGGGUGUGAGAGCAUGACCCGGCACACUGGAACUGAGACACUGUCCAGACACCUACGGGUGGCUGCAGUCGAGAAUCUUCGGCAAUGGGCGAAAGCCUGACCGAGCGACGCCGCGUGAGGGAUUGAAGGCCUUCGGGUUGUUAACCUC
rnacentral:rRNA from 1 species